GCGACGAAUAUCGUUCAUUUGCUUCCCUCAAGCUUGCACUACGGUCAGUAUGACAUGCGUGAGGGAAGCAAAUGAACGAUAUUCCUGUGC
rnacentral:miRNA from 1 species